rnacentral:rRNA from 1 species
AGCACCAGGCACCGACCCUGAUCUUCUGUGAAAGGUUCGAGUGACAGUGUACCUGUUAGGACCCGAAAGAUGGUGAACUAUGCCUGAGCAGGGCGAAGCCAGAGGAAACUCUGGUGGAGGCUCGUAGCGAUACUGACGUGCAAAUCGUUCGUCGGACUUGGGUAUAGGGGCGAAAGACUAAUCGAACCAUCUAGUAGCUGGUUCCGGGCGAAGUAUCCCUCAGGAUAGCUGGAGCUCUUUCGAGUUUUGUCGGGUAAAGCUAAUGAUUAGAGGCAUCGGGGGUGAAACACCCUCGACCUAUUCUCAAACUUUAAAUAGGCAAGGUGCCGGGGCUGCUCCGGUGAGCCCCGGCCUUGAAUCAGAGCUCCAAGUGGGCCAUUUUUGGUAAGCAGAACUG